rnacentral:lncRNA from 1 species
AAGCUUCCAUUUUGAGAUGAACCCUGAAGAGAAAAACAAUAAUAAUUAAGUUCCUGCUAACAAGGAUCCAGGUAAUCAGAAAAGUCUGUUUUCCAGUUCUACAUUUGACUGAGAAGGGACAUUUAUGCAAAAGUAGAAGGCAAGACUGGCCUGUGGAAAGCCCAAUGAAUACUCCACAAAUAUUGAAGAUGCUUACAUCAAGGUCCAGUUGUAGUGUCCAAGUUCUUCAGGGAAAAUACAAGACCACACUGACCAAGACGCUGAAGAAUGUUCUGAAUGCAGGCAAAAGUUAUGAAAAAGAUAUGAAACUCUAUUUUUGCCCAUAAAAUGCACACACAGCACAGUGAGAGCAAGAAUGCACUGUAAGAUUCUCUGGGUUUGACACAAAAUUGGUCAUUUAAACACAGUGGAUCUCAGUAUAUAACCAGGAAUGUUUGAGCUAUGGAAUCUUUAACAUUUCUAAAGAAAAAGUAAAAUGAGUGAAU